AUUGAACGCUGGCGGCAUGCCUUACACAUGCAAGUCGAACGGUAACAGGGAGCUUGCUCCGCUGACGAGUGGCGAACGGGUGAGUAAUGCAUCGGAACGUACCUUUCAGUGGGGGAUAACGUAGCGAAAGUUACGCUAAUACCGCAUAUUCUGUGAGCAGGAAAGCAGGGGAUCGCAAGACCUUGCGCUGAUUGAGCGGCCGAUGUCAGAUUAGCGAGUUGGUGAGGUAAAGGCUCACCAAGGCGACGAUCUGUAGCGGGUCUGAGAGGAUGAUCCGCCACACUGGAACUGAGACACGGUCCAGACUCCUACGGGAGGCAGCAGUGGGGAAUUUUGGACAAUGGGGGCAACCCUGAUCCAGCCAUGCCGCGUGAGUGAAGAAGGCCUUCGGGUUGUAAAGCUCUUUCGGCCGGGAAGAAAUCGCACGGGCUAAUACCCUGUGUGGAUGACGGUACCGGAAUAAGAAGCACCGGCUAACUACGUGCCAGCAGCCGCCGUAAGAC
rnacentral:rRNA from 1 species